AGUGAACGCUGGCGGUAGGCCUAACACAUGCAAGUCGAACGGCAGCACAGUAAGAGCUUGCUCUUACGGGUGGCGAGUGGCGGACGGGUGAGGAAUACAUCGGAAUCUACUUUUUCGUGGGGGAUAACGUAGGGAAACUUACGCUAAUACCGCAUACGCCCUACGGGUGAAAGCAGGGGAUCUUCGGACCUUGCGCGAUUGAAUGAGCCGAUGUGGGAUUAGCUAGUUGGCGGGGUAAAGGCCCACCAAGGCGACGAUCCGUAGCUGGUCUGAGAGGAUGAUCAGCCACACUGGAACUGAGACACGGUCCAGACUCCUACGGGAGGCAGCAGUGGGGAAUAUUGGACAAUGGGCGCAAGCCUGAUCCAGCCAUACCGCGUGGGUGAAGAAGGCCUUCGGGUUGUAAAGCCCUUUUGUUGGGAAAGAAAAGCAGCAGGUUAAUACCCCGCUGUUCUGACGGUACCCAAAGAAUAAGCACCGGCUAACUUCGUG
rnacentral:rRNA from 1 species